AGUGAACGCUGGCGGUAGGCCUAACACAUGCAAGUCGAACGGCAGCACAGUAAGAGCUUGCUCUUACGGGUGGCGAGUGGCGGACGGGUGAGGAAUACAUCGGAAUCUACUUUUUCGUGGGGGAUAACGUAGGGAAACUUACGCUAAUACCGCAUUCGACCUACGGGUGAAAGCAGGGGAUCUUCGGACCUUGCGCGAUUGAAUGAGCCGAUGUCGGAUUAGCUAGUUGGCGGGGUAAAGGCCCACCAAGGCGACGAUCCGUAGCUGGUCUGAGAGGAUGAUCAGCCACACUGGAACUGAGACACGGUCCAGACUCCUACGGGAGGCAGCAGUGGGGAAUAUUGGACAAUGGGCGCAAGCCUGAUCCAGCCAUACCGCGUGGGUGAAGAAGGCCUUCGGGUUGUAAAGCCCUUUUGUUGGGAAAGAAAAGCAGCAGGUUAAUACCCCGCUGUUCUGACGGUACCCAAAGAAUAAGCACCGGCUAACUGCGU
rnacentral:rRNA from 1 species